CAAAGGAAGCCUACAACAGCGCUAAAGGCAUUAUGGGACUUGAAGUCCUACAGUUGAAGCCAUGUAAAGAAAGUACUUCCUUUGAAACUACAGUCCCAGAGGCCAGUUAUGAGGUACUCUACUGGUACAGUAUAGCAGAGGCUCGAACUAUCGAAGAUGACGAUGACGACUACUGGAGAUUAAUGUUUUAUUUUACACUUCUCAAAACCACAAGAAAUGACCUGCACAGCAUGGCUGCCAGUGUAAGAAGGGAACCUGGGCCAACGUGGAUGGUGGUUAUUCUCGUGCAGGUCAUCAAGUUUUGAGCAACAAAAUCAACAACAUCCAAGGUAGUUUUCUCUAUCAACUGGACUGGGUUUGUUCUUCAGAACUGAAGAAGCCUUCUGGAUAGAAGGCGAAACGUCUUCAAGAGAAGAAACCCAGUCCAGUUGACAGAGAAAAUUACCUUGGAUACAAUGACCUGGAUGACUGAGAAUCUACACAGACAAAAUCAACAACAAAAAGAGCUGACGUGAAGUGUGUAGACCCAAGAUGGCCAGAGAGACAUGAUAUGCAAGAUCCAGUGCAAGAUGUAUAUGUAAAUGCAACACAUGGGCAGUAAGGCUGUGGUCUCACGGGAUAGACAGACUGGUAUGAAAAGGCAACGUAUUGAAUCCGUGAUCCACACUGGCCUCAAUACCUAACCUGGUCUGCUUGGAGUGUGUAAACUGUCCCAAAUAACUUAAAUCUGUAGUGAUGAUCAAAUGAAAACUGAUUGCUAUAGAAAACCUUGGAAAUCUGUUGAAACUUGUCCAUACAAGAAUGGCCAAGGAUAAAUAUUAACCAUACAUCCAAGGUAGUUUCCUCUGUCAACUGGACUGUGUUUCUUCUCUUUGAAGACGUUUCGCCUUCUAUCCAGAAGGCUUCUUCAGUUCUGGACCAUACAUGUUUUUUUAUAUCGCUUGCAAUUGGGAUCUUUUCAGUAUUUUAUUAUUGCACGUGUUUUACUUAAACAUGUGUUCUUUUUUUUAACAAUUUCAUCUUACUCAUAGUAAACC
rnacentral:lncRNA from 1 species